UUGAACGCUGGCGGAAUGCUUUACACAUGCAAGUCGAGCGGCAGCGCGGGGGCAACCCUGGCGGCGAGCGGCGAACGGGUGAGUAAUGCGUCGGAACGUGCCGAGUAAUGGGGGAUAACGCAGCGAAAGCUGUGCUAAUACCGCAUACGCCCUGAGGGGGAAAGUGGGGGAUCGCAAGACCUCACGUUAUUCGAGCGGCCGACGUCUGAUUAGCUAGUUGGUGGGGUAAAGGCUCACCAAGGCGACGAUCUGUAGCUGGUCUGAGAGGACGACCAGCCACACUGGAACUGAGACACGGUCCAGACUCCUACGGGAGGCAGCAGUGGGGAAUUUUGGACAAUGGGCGCAAGCCUGAUCCAGCAAUGCCGCGUGCAGGAUGAAGGCCUUCGGGUUGUAAACUGCUUUUGUACGGAACGAAAAGACUCCUUCUAAUAAAGGGGGUUCAUGACGGUACCGUAAGAAUAAGCACCGGCUAACUACGU
rnacentral:rRNA from 1 species